ACAUCCAGAGAACUUAGCAGAGAUGCUUUGGUGCCUUCGGGAACUCUGAGACAGGUGCUGCAUGGCUGUCGUCAGCUCGUGUUGUGAAAUGUUGGGUUAAGUCCCGNAACGAGCGCAACCCUUAUCCUUUGUUGCCAGCGGUUCGGCCGGGAACUCAAAGGAGACUGCCGGUGAUAAACCGGAGGAAGGUGGGGAUGACGUCAAGUCAUCAUGGCCCUUACGGCCAGGGCUACACACGUGCUACAAUGGCGCAUACAAGAGAAGCGACCUCGCGAGAGCAAGCGGACCUCAUAAAGUGCGUCGUAGUCCGGAUUGGAGUCUGCAACUCGACUCCAUGAAGUCGGAAUCGCUAGUAAUCGUAGAUCAGAAUGCUACGGUGAAUACGUUCCCGGGCCUUGUACACACCGCCCGUCACACCAUGGGAGUGGGUUGCAAAAGAAGUAGGUAGCUUAACCUUCGGGAGGGCGCUUACCACUUUGUGAUUCAUGACUGGGGUGAAGUCGUAACAAGGUAGGCGUAGCGAG
rnacentral:rRNA from 1 species